rnacentral:rRNA from 1 species
CGAAGAACCUUACCUGGUCUUGACAUAGUAAGAACUUUCCAGAGAUGGAUUGGUGCCUUCGGGAACUUACAUACAGGUGCUGCAUGGCUGUCGUCAGUUCGUGUCGUGAGAUGUUGGGUUAAGUCCCGCAACGAGCGCAACCCUUUUCCUUAUUUGCCAGCGGGUUAAGCCGGGAACUUUAAGGAUACUGCCAGUGACAAACUGGAGGAAGGCGGGGACGACGUCAAGUCAUCAUGGCCCUUACGACCAGGGCUACACACGUGCUACAAUGGUCGGUACAAAGGGUUGCUACCUAGCGAUAGGAUGCUAAUCUCAAAAAGCCGAUCGUAGUCCGGAUUGGAGUCUGCAACUCGACUCCAUGAAGUCGGAAUCGCUAGUAAUCGCGGAUCAGAAUGCCGCGGUGAAUACGUUCCCGGGCCUUGUACACACCGCCCGUCACACCAUGGGAAUUUGUUGCACCAGAAGUAGGUAGUCUAACCGCAAGGAGGACGCUUACCACGGUGUGGCCGAUGACUGGGGUGAAGUCGUAACAAGGUAAGCGUAGAUGA